GACGAACGCUGGCGGCGUGCUUAACACAUGCCAGUCGAACGGAAAGGCCUGUCCUUCCUUGUGUUGGACGGGUACUCGAGUGGCGAACGGGUGAGUAACACGUGAGUGAUCUGCCCCCAACUUGGGUAUAAGCCUGGGAAACUGGGUCUAAUUCCCGAUAGGACUGCAGGGUGGUGCCUGUGGUGGAAAACGUUUUUCUAGUGGUUGGGGAUGAGCUCGCGGCCUAUCAGCUUGUUGGUGGGGUAAUGGCCUACCACGGCGGCGACGGGUAGCCGGCCUGGGAGGGUGGACGGCCACAUUGGGACUGGGAUACGGCCCCGACGCCUACGGGCGGCAGCAGUGGGGAAGAAUGCACAAUGGGCGGAAGCCUGAUGCAGCGACGCCGCGUGGGGGAUGACGGCCUUCGGGUUGUAAACUCCUUUCGACCGCGAGGAAGCCGCCUGGUUGGAAGGGUGGUGACGGUAGUGGUAGAAGAAGCACCGGCUAACUACGUG
rnacentral:rRNA from 1 species